rnacentral:rRNA from 1 species
AGAGUUGAUUAUGGCUCAGGAUGAACGCUGGCGGCGUGCUUAACACAUGCAAGUCGAACGAAGCUCCUUGAACUGAAGAUUCGUCUGAUGGGAUAGGAAGACUUAGUGGCGGACGGGUGAGUAACGCGUGGGUAACCUGCCGUAUACGAGGGGGAUAACAGUUAGAAAUGACUGCUAAUACCGCAUAAGCGCACAGUGAGGCAUCUCACAGUGUAGAAAAACUCCGGGUGGUAUACGAUCGGACCCGCGUCUGAUUAGCCAGUUGGCAGGGUAACGGCCUAACCAAGCGACGAUCAGUAGCCGGCCUGAGGAGGGUGAACGGCCACAGUUGGGACUGAGACACCGGACCCAAACUCCGUACGGGAGGCAGCAGGUGGGAAUAUUGCACAAUGGGGGAAACCCUGAUGCAAGCGACGCCGCGUGAGUGAAGAAGCAUUUCGGUGCGUAAAGCUCUAUCAGCAGGGAAGAAAAUGACGGUACCUGACUAAGAAGCCCCGGCUAACUACGUGCCAGCCGCAGC